UAAAAUUAAACAGGAUGAUCAGAGAAGAUCUCCCUAAGACGGCUUCAACAAUAACACAGAGAGGAAGCCAGAAGGACAUGUGCACAUAUUCAGAGGCAAGACAGGCCAGGCGCACUGCUGACACAAGAUACCAGAGGGGCAGACUGGAGGAGAAUGAGCGGGGGCUCAGAGGUGAAGGGGCAGAAGCAAGAGGGCUUGGGUCCUGUCAAGUUCUGUAAGGACUGGCUUUUAGUCAAGUGAUACAAAGUGACUUCACAGGGAUGUGAGUAGCAAAAGAAAAAGGAGAAAAGAUAUGAUGUGACUUCUGUUUGCUUGACUUCACUGUCCACUGAGAAAAAAAAAAUGAAGAGAUGCAGGGCAUGCACGAAGACUGACAAGGUCAGAGACUCACAGCACAAUGCAAGAAAGAAGUCAAGGCAGCUAGGAUGGUCAGGGUGGUAGAGACCUAAUUUCCUAUGCAUUCUUAAGGCAAGAGGCAAGUAGAAUGUGCUAAUGAACUAUCAGGUAAAGAACAACUCUAAGGAACCUUGGCCAGAACAACUAACUAUGAAACUGCCAUUAUCUGAGUGCUGAGUAGGAAAGACCAGGAGCUCAGGAUUGAACGAGUGAUGGCCAUAACAAGCAUAAAGAAAGAAGGUUUGGGCUGUAGCUUGGUGGUAGCUUGCAAAAGCCUUGGGUUUAAACCCUAGCACUACAAGAGGCAAGGUACACACAGAGGCCUAGGCCGAAAAAAAAUUAGUUUUAAAUUUGGUUUGUAAAUUAGAGGCUAAGUAAAAUCACCAAGGAAGUAAAUAAAGACAAUGUGUGUGUAUGCAGGCAUGUGCACGCACACACGCUAGUACCAGAGCUUGAACUUAGCCUGUAGUCUCAUUCGUUGUUUUUCACUCACAGCUGGCACUCUACCACCUGU